rnacentral:rRNA from 1 species
AGGGAUACCCGCUGAACUUAAGCAUAUCAAUAAGCGGAGGAAAAGAAACCAACCAA